rfam:Candidatus Azambacteria bacterium RIFCSPHIGHO2_01_FTLL_40_24 rifcsphigho2_01_scaffold_102139, whole genome shotgun sequence.
CAUUUUGAGAGUUUGAUCCUAGCUCAGGGUGAACGCUGGUAACGUGGAUACCGGCAUGCAAGUCACGGGGGUCCCGACGCAAGUCGUGGACAACCGGCGAACGGCUUAGUAACACGUGGGUACAUACCCCAAACUGGAGCACAGCUCGUCGAAAGACGGGGUAAUUCUCCAUAGUCUCCUCUUUCGCUUUUUAUUUCACAAAAGCUUCAAAGGACAAAGCCACAAGGCAAAUAUGCUUUGCAAAGCAAGGCUUGUCCGUCCGAAGCUCAGGUGGAACGCAGAGCGAAGGAGGAGUAAAGCUGAGCAUUCCACUGCACAUAGCAACAUUAAUUUAACGGCGCGAAUUUUUAGAAAUAUUCGCGGCGCGAGGAACGAACUGAUGCCAUAGCGCAUCGUGAGCGACGAAGCAACAAAGAAGAUUUCAAAAAUUCGCCCGCCCUUCGGGAAGCGAAAAAUUGAUUAGUCCCUUUGUUACUCCUCCUCAACGUGCCCUGCGGGCACAAUUUCGUCGUCGUGUCGCGGGCUUAAUUCAAUUUUUCGCUUUCAAAUUUAAUGUUAUAUGUGGAGUGGAGUGCUUAUGCGGUUUGGGAAUGGCCUGCGGCCUAUCAGAUAGUUGGCGAGGUAAUAGCUCACCAAGUCUAUGACGGGUAGGGGGCGUGAGAGCGCGACCCCCAAGAAUGGCACUGCGAUACGGGCCAUACUCCUACGGGAGGCUGCAGUCGAGAAUCUUCCGCAAUGGGCGAAAGCCUGACGGAGCGACGUUACGUGAAUGAUGAAGCCCUUCGGGGUGUAAAGUUCUUUUCUCUGGGAGGAAGUCCCGACGCAAGUCGCGGACAGACAGUACCAGAGGAAUAAGGGGGUCCUAAUUCUGUGCCAGCAGGAGCGGUAAUACAGAAUCCCCAAGCGUUACCCGGAUUUAUUGGGCGUAAAGGGUCCGUAGGUGGUAAAGUAAGUUGAAUGUUAAAGCUCAUCGGCUCAACCUUUGAAAUGCAUUCAAUACUGCUAUACUAGAGGGCGUUAGGGGUUAGCGGAACCGACGGAGUAGGGGUGAAAUCCGUUGAUAUCGUCGGGAACACCAAAAGCGAAGGCAGCUAACUAAGACGACCCUGACACUGAGGGACGAAAGCGUGGGUAGCAAAAAGGAUUAGAUACCCUUGUAGUCCACGCUGUAAACGAUGGAUACUGGCUAUGUGAAGUGUCGACCCUUCACGUGGCGAAGCUAACGCGUUAAGUAUCCCGCCUGGGAAGU